AGCAUGAUGUCAUCCGUGUUGUGGACUGGCCAAGGUGGUGUGCCAAGGAAAUCAAGGUCUCUGUGAACUAGAUCAGAGGUUGACUUUUUCUGAAAAGAGCCAGACAGAAAAAAAAAUCAAGUUUGUUUUCGUGAGGAUAACUGUUAAAGUCAGAAUGCUAAAUUUAUCUAGAUAAGAUCUCAUCUUCGUCUCAAUUACUUGGAACCCAGAAGUCUCUAGUAUCCUUUAAAUUCACUUACGCCUUCUGACUUGAAAAUGGCAAAGAAGUGUUGUGACCCGGAAAUACAAAAUAUAAUUGUCCAGCCUAUUGACUAUGGCCCUGGGAAUAAAAACUGAUCCCAAAUCGA